GACGAACGCUGGCGGCGUGCUUAACACAUGCAAGUCGAACGGAAAGGCCCUGCUUUUGUGGGGUGCUCGAGUGGCGAACGGGUGAGUAACAGGUAAGUAACCUGCCCUUGACUUUGGGAUAACUUCAGGAAACUGGGGCUACUACCGGAUCGGAUCUCCUGUUGCAGGGUGGGGAGUGGAAAUUUUCGGCGGUUGCGGAUGGACGGGCGGCUUAUGAGCUUGUUGGUGGGGUAGUGGCUUACCAAGGCAUUGACGGGUAGCCGGCCUGAGAGGGUGACCGGCCACAUUGGGACUGAGAGACGGCGCAGACUCCUACGGGAGGCAGCAGUGGGGAAUAUUGCACAAUGGGAGGAAGCCUGAGGCAGCAACGCCGCGUGCGGGAUGACGGCCUUCGGGUUGUAAACCGCUUUCGCCUGUGACGAAGCGUGAGUGACGGUAAUGGGUAAAGAAGCACCGGCUAACUACGUG
rnacentral:rRNA from 1 species